CUUAUUAAACGACUCCGUUUAUACCAAGUUCCUGCACCUGACUUCCCUGCCACCAACACGCACCCAUUACAAAGAAUCAAGAAGGGGACCAAGUGCUUCGACAUCCAGGCAAAUUACUUUGAUUAGAAGAAGGACGAAAGGAAGGCGAGACCUGGGAAACCUCACUGCUCUUUCGCUCCUAGCUGGAGUCACCAUCUGUUAAGGGUUACCUCGGUGGAAGCCAACAAUCUUCAGUUGGAGCAGUUAGACGGUGGACCACUGAAAGCCCUGACGCCCAAAACACUUUGGUAAAGCCCAAUAGAGAAAGACCAUUGACUGUCUGAGCCCCCCAGGAGGUAUCCAAUCCACCAGAACCAGUGAGUUCUGAUCAGUCUGAUUCUCUGAGUCAGAACAGCUUGGAGGACCUAGGGGUUCUGCCUAACACCCAGACGUGGAUUCACCUGAUGUACUCCAUUACCAACCACCCUCCAACUUUUCAUUACAUCAUCUACUGUUAUUGUCAUGUUGUCAUUACCUGCUAAGAACAUUUUCUUGCUCUAUCAUACUGGGCACAUAAUAUGUGAGAUACAAAGAUUAACUAAAACACUAGCACUGCAAACACUCAGAACAAAGAGAGCCGCAGUGCUUGGACUUUGCAGUCUCCUUCUCCAGUCCCAAUUCCAAGACUGGCUUCCUGUUGAGAAUAAGUGGCAGGCAGAACCUCCCACCCACACAGCAACCACUCUAUAUGCCACACACCAGAAUUCAGUAUUUUAGUCUGAUUGCCAUGUGAAUGUACAACAAAUCUGUGAAAAUAAAUUAAU